GCCCCGCUAGCUCAAUCGGUAGAGCGUGAGACUUUUACGAACCAAAGCCUUUUGAGGUCGGACUACCGUAUUUGCAAUAUUACUUACGGAAUCUCAAGGCUGCGGGUUCGAGCCCCGCGUGGGGCU